CGUUUUAAAAUAAAGGCUUCAUUAUUCUCGUAAAAAGGAGAUUUCCCAUAGCAUCUAGCAACGCAAUACGAGUGAACCAUUUUCGAAAGGGAACAUGCAGUUAGCUAACAUGUAUUAAUUUUAGGUCAAUCAAUGAGCUCCUUAAAGCAAUUAUUACAAGUUGUGAUCAUAAUUUUUAGAAUAUAUAGAAGUUUUCUAUAUAGUGUUGGAUAAAAAGUGAGUCAACACAUCAGCAACAACCUCAUCAUGUAAAUGUAAAUCACAGAGGUCUUGUCUGUAUGUUACAGGGACAGAUGAACACAUGUGUUUAUCCGAUGGAGAGUGGCUCAUUGAGGCUUUGAAUCUUUUGUGGUGGAGCAGGGCCUGCAAGGAAAGGAUCUGAAAUGUCGGCAGACUGGUGUGAGCACUGAGGUUUAAGAGCCACAGCAUCCUGGAAAUGCUAAAGUGCCAUGGAUGAGACCCUGACAUAUCACCUUUUUUGUUCAGGAAAAAACCCCCCCAAAAAACCCCACAGUGAUCAAACAACGUGAAGGCGAGUAAAUAAUGACUGAGUUAAUUGGCACAGCUGUGUUGAGAUGGCAGUGUGGGGUUCACCGCAUGUAAAUACGUGAUUGUUAGAACAAUAAGUUUGAAUAAAGCUUUGUUUCAUGUGUU